rnacentral:lncRNA from 1 species
UCUUUUACAAAUCCAGAAGAAAGACUUUGGCUAGAUCCAAGGAAGACGAUAGAAACCAUCCAAAUACAGAGACCCAAACAUGUCCUUCUCUGGAGAUCUUGAAGGCCAGGGUUCAGGCUCAUCAUUUGGGGAGUUCUGCUGCUUCUCACUUCCCUUACUUUAUUACUCACACACCUUGAAGGUGCCACCAGUGUAAAGCCUCUGGCUAUUGUUACAGAGCAGUCCUUCUGGCUAGUAUGAUACUCAUAUGCCUGCUUAUGAAACACCUAUUCAGGUACACUGCGGUCUCUAUCCUUCUGUUACUCCGUCAAUCAUAUCUCCGUCUGUUCUGUGGAUCUGUGAGCAGCUUGAGGGUAGGGACCAGGUUUUAUUUGUCAUCAGUUAAGACAGUUACAGUACCUGACACUAAUGUGUACUGAAAAGUUUUUCAAAGUACCAUGUGCUUUACAUGGAUUAUCUUAUUUAAGUUCCUUAAUAACCCUGUAAGAGAUGG